GGACGCGGUACCCAGGCCACCUCCUGGCCUGCCUGAAUCUCGGGGUGGGAGGGAUGCUGCAAGUCUGGUGACUUGACCUUGCGUGCCCAGCACCUAGACCUUGCGCGCCCAGUACUUUGCAUGCACUCAACCCCUGACCUUGCACGAACCUGGCUUAUCAGAGCACAGGUUUGCCCUGCAACCUCACUCACUGGCCUCUAUCAGUGGAGUCCUCUAGCUAAGCCUAAGUGGCCUGUGAAUAUGAUACUUGAAGUUCUGCCCCCUCUCUGUGACCUUUCAAAGCUUGAGCCUCAGUUUUCCCAUCUCUGCUCAGAGGUGGAUGGGCAGCGCUAACUUUUGAAGGGCCAACAUCUGUGUUGGUCAGGUUCCAUUGCAGGGGCCUAGUUGGGGCAGGGACAGUUCAUGAGAUGGGAAGUACUUUGUAAGCUCCCAGAUGAUGUUGAUGGCGCUGGGUCUUAAGGCCCACCCUCCACUCGGCCCCUACCCUGGAGGUCUCAUUCCACCCAUGGCCCCUGCUCUACACACAGGUGAGUCACAAAGGUGUGGCGUUGAGUAGUGACAUCCAGGGACAGGAGCAGGCAAAUCUAAGUUGAAUGUCUUGCUUCACCGAUACGAGUCAUGCAACUUUGGUCAGUCUCCUAACUGCCUAUUCCUGUUUCCUGGUCUGCAAAUGGUGUUUCCAACAAUGCCUUCUGAGGUUUGUUUGUUUGUUUGUUUGUUGUGGUUUGUUUGUUUGUUGUUUGUUUUGGUGAAAAGUUAAUGACAUGAUGCUGAUAAAGUACUCCUACAGUAGAAAUUGUCAAUAAUCAUUAGCGGUUAUUGUCACUAUGCAGUAUCUAGAUGUGUACAUCCUGUUCAACGUGUCCCUCCAAUCGGUUGCACAAACAGUAGUAGACACUAUCCUGUGUCAAUAGCAGAGAACUUAGCAUGACAUGCUACACAACAUGUGCUUAGAAUAUUUGCAGAUAGAAGGUAGGGGUGUAGUAGAACGGUACUUGCUAAGCAGGUGUGGAGCUCUGAAAUUCACGCCAGGACCAAGCAGAAGGGGGAGGGUGGAUAGAAGUGGAGGUGCUUUGGUUCGGGUGACAUUGGUAGGUUGACAGCCUGGUCCCCUGCCUGUGGUGCUGUUGACUGUCAGUGGAACCUUUAAGAGGGGGCCUUCCAGGAGGGUCUCCAGGUUAUUGAGAGCGUGUGCUUGCUGGCAAUGUGAGAGCCCACCAUUCUCAGGUUCAUCUCUCCUGUCAUCCUGAGGUGAGCCUCCUGCUGCCCCUUCACUGCCCCUGUGACACAUUGCUGCAGCCUGACUCCAAAGUACAGGAGCCUCUAGAAGCCCAGUGCCUGAUCCCGUUGUAAGCUGGUUCUCUGAGCUAUUUGUUACAGUCCUGAAAAGCUGUCUGACAGGGGAAGAAGAGGCUGUUGUGACCGGGCCUGUGGAUUUAGGCAGGUCCAUGCUUCUUGCACACCCUCAGAGCAGAUUCCCUGUGUCGUCCUAGGUCCCUCCAGUCCCAGGGCUCCUGAGUUCCCUGCCUUGUGGCCCUCAGGCUCAACCUAGAUCCCCUCCUUCCUGGUUUACAGCAUUUCUUGAAAGAAUAAAUGGAGUACUAGGGUUAUCCUCUGAGGACCAGGCUGCAAAUCCCCAGUCUUGCUCAUACUGCUGGAUGGUCGUCUGGGAAGAGGGAGCUUCAGCUGAGAAGAUGCCACCAUCAGAAUGCACUGUGGACAAGCCUAUGACUUUGCAGCCCACCCAUUGAAAGUGGACAAGAUAGAUGGCCAACCAUGAGCAUAAGCAGCUCCCAAACACUCCAGAGUCUGUUACCUCCCAGAGGAUAAAGAAUGCUGUUCCUUUGGGCCGUCACUCCUGACACCUCCCUCCAGCCCAGGACUCCUCUAUCUUCUGCCUUUGUGGUUUCAUGUAUUCUGAGCAUUUGCUUGACUAGAGUGGUGGUGCACACAGCCUCUCCCACCCAACUCUUUCCAGUGGCCUCAGCAUCAGCUCCUGCCUCCAGGUUUCUUCCCUGUUUGAGUUCACAGCCUGACUUCCUUUGAUGAUGAACUGUGAUGUGGAAGCCUAAGCCAAAUAAAUCCUUUUC